CGGGAGUAAUGUCUGGGAAACGGCCUGAUGGAGGGGGAUAACUACUGGAAACGGUAGCUAAUACCGCAUAACGUCGCAAGACCAAAGUGGGGGACCUUCGGGCCUCAUGCCAUCAGAUGUGCCCAGAUGGGAUUAGCUAGUAGGUGGGGUAACGGCUCACCUAGGCGACGAUCCCUAGCUGGUCUGAGAGGAUGACCAGCCACACUGGAACUGAGACACGGUCCAG
rnacentral:rRNA from 1 species